AUUACUGUAUUUAACAUGCGGAUUUCACGCCAAUUACAGACUAAUCUUUCUCUUUCCUUUUUACUUUACCUUUUCUCUUUCACUUUCUCUUUCUCUUUCUUUUCAAUCUCUUUCUCUCUUUCUUUGUAAAUUUACCUUUUCUCUUUCUCUUUUUUCUUUCAAACCUCUCAAAUUUCACUUUCAAUUUUUUUCCUCACAUUUUUCUCACGUUAUUUAUAAGGAUUGUGAUCCACAAAAUCAGGAUAAUUGGAGUUGAAUGAAUAUUGUAGAUGAUUUGGGUUGAUUUAUUGUUGAAGAAGACAUGAAGGAAGAGGGAUUGUGGUUUGUAUAUGGUUACAUACGCAGAUUGCCUUUCUUAUGGUCAAGGCAUUCCUUAACUUAAGUUCAAUCCCAACGUAUUUCAUACAAGAUAUGCUUCACUAUUGUGGAAUUACAUCAUGGGGAAAAAAGAAGAAAAAGGUCAAAGUGAUGACGAAGCGUCAUUGAGGCUUGUAAGAAAA